rnacentral:lncRNA from 1 species
CCCAAGUGCUGGUAUGGUGUUUGUUAAGCCUGGCCUUUGUGAAGCUCCCUGGGGUCUCCCUAGAAAUGCAAGCACACAGCAGAGUGGAUGAGCGAUGUAACAAGCUGUCCCUCCGUGGGGCACGGAGGUGAAUGCAGUGGUUAUUCUGUCAGCUCUAAUACAGAAAACCCUCUCCAGGAGAAUUCUGCAGUUUUACAAAGUAACACUGGUGCCACUACAAAUGGGACUAGGUACUAUUGGGUCAGUGUGGGAAAGGGUUGACCACAUCCAGAUUUCCAGAGAUGCCCAAGCUGAAAGCCAGACAAGAAGGUGGAGGCUUUCCCUUUAAGAAAAGACUGAACUUGUAGGUCAUCAUUCUUGGCUGGACAUUAAUUAUUGAGUUUAUAUACAACACAUGCAUGCAGAACCCAGAGAGACCAAGAGAAGAAGAUGGAUUUCCCUGGAACUGGAAUUGCAGGCUAACAGAAAUGAGUGACAGCCUCGAGGGACUUGGAAGAUGUAGGGCAAGCUGAUUCCCAUCACAUCACAUCUGAUAAUGCUGAAGACACAUAGAUCCUGAGGAUGACCAACAGUUACCAGAAACCUAAUCAGUGGAAGGACAGCUUUUCCCAUGGACACU